GACGAACGCUGGCGGCGUGCUUAACACAUGCAAGUCGAACGGAAAGGCCCUGCUUGUGUGGGGUGCUCGAGUGGCGAACGGGUGAGUAACACGUGAGUAACCUGCCCUUGACUUUGGGAUAACUUCAGGAAACUGGGGCUAAUACCGGAUAGGAGCUCCUGCUGCAUGGUGGGGGUUGGAAAGUUUCGGCGGUUGGGGAUGGACUCGCGGCUUAUGAGCUUGUUGGUGGGGUAGUGGCUUACCAAGGCUUUGACGGGUAGCCGGCCGGAGAGGGUGACCGGCCACAAUGGGACUGAGGUAGGGACCAGACUCCUACGGGAGGCAGCAGUGGGGAAUAUUGCACAAUGGGCGGAAGCCUGAUGCAGCAACGCCGCGUGCGGGAUGACGGCCUUCGGGUUGUAAACCGCUUUCGCCUGUGACGAAGCGUGAGUGACGGUAAUGGGUAAAGAAGCACCGGCUAACUACGUG
rnacentral:rRNA from 1 species